UUUCAUCUCUUUAAGAAAAGCUAAAAUUUAAAAAAAGCUAGAUGUAUUCCGGAGCUUAAAAGUAUUGAAUAAGGACCAGAAGUAUAAACUAGAGAACAUCUACUUUUAGACAAACAAUAUUCAGUCUCCGUAGAGACUGUCAAAAAUUGCCAAUGCCGACUAUAUUUCAAGUCGUCAUGGCGGGGUAUUGGGAAAAGUUUUCAAUUAGCAAUAAUCGCGCCUCGGAUAAACCUCAUUGGCUACGAUACUGCCACUGCGCAAAGCUGAAGAACGAGCGCGCUCGCUCAGCCUCCCAGGGCUGACAACCUUCAUCACAGUCACGGUGAGCUCCUGUCCACGCGCGACCGUCGCGGGACGGCAACCGAACCCGGCGGCUCCAUCUCAGUCACCUGCGUGGACAGGCUCCUGCCCGUGGGCUAUCUAGCGCCCGAACGUCCGUGGUUUCCAGACAACGCGGCAGCCGCUUGGGAUGCUGGGGACUCUUAUGCAAAUCGAGCCAACGUCAUCGCGAUGGCCCGGGUGGAGGCGCAAACGCGGCGGGAGGAGGGUAAGCCAGAAAGGGAUGAAAUGAGAUGUGUGGUCCGCUGCGGAGGUCCGGGGGGUUGGCAUUAGAGGAGCGUGUCAGUGUGACCCUGACGCUGCGUUGGCGGAGGCAGGAUUGUUGCGAGUGUUGGGCCAGCCAAGGAUAACAAACCUGAGUGACCGGAGACGGAAACAGGGCUAACAGACUUGUGAAUACAGCCAACAAACUCGAAUGGGAAAGUAACAAAACAGUGAAAAGUGUCAUUGUAAGUAAGGAUCGCGAGCGAGAAACGUUAGUAUCAGCUAAAAGUUGUUAAAGGGGAAGAGAGAGUUUUCGAGCUAAAUCGAGAUACAGAUAGAGAGAGUAGAAAUCUUGAGUUCUAAGUAAUUAUUUUUUUUGGACCACAAUUAUUCAGUCUCCGUAGAGACUGUCAAAAAUUGCCAAUGCCGACUAUAUUGCAAGUCGUCACGGCGGGGUAUUGGGAAAAGUUUUCAAUUAGCAAUAAUCGCGCCUCGGAUAAACCUCAUUGGCUACGAUACUGCCACUGCGCAAAGCUAGUGAGCUAGGGGCCCAGCACAGCGUUCCUAGGAGACGCGGACCCUAUUACAAAAAGGGGGUUUUGAGCCGAACGGGAAAGCCCUCAAUUAUCGCUACGCUGGACAUGAGAGCACUAAAUACAACCUUAUGGCACUUUAUGUAUGAUAUAAAAGAGGAGCAUGCUGCUUUUAUGUAAGGUUUACGUGGAGGAAAUGAAGCAAAGCACUAUGGGAUCGAACAUGCUAAUUGACUCAGCUCGGAGCCUGAAAGGGAUCUUCUGCCCGAGUCAAGGGGUUAGGUUGGCUCAAUGUUACCGCUUUCUCAGGGGAGGCUUUCUUGUUUCUGACUUUAUACACAAGAAAAUAUCCGUAUGAAGACGAGAUGGCAUAAAAUGUACCGUGUUUUACUAUCUUAAGGCUUUAAUUUCGGGGGUUGGGGAUUUAGCUCAGUGGUAGAGCGCUUGCCUAGGAAGCGCAAGGCCCUGGGUUCGGUCCCCAGCUCCGAAAAAAAGAACCAAAAAAAAAAAAAAGAAAAAAAAAAAGGCUUUAAUUUCGGAAUUUCGGUGUCUACAUUCACAUUCAUCUCAAGAACCUUCUGAUCUUCCCAAACUAAAACUCGGUACGCAUUAAACUCUGAGCUCCCUAGCAAGCUUUCUUGGCCCAGUCCGUGGGAAAACGUGCGUCAUGAGAAUGUCUGGUGCCCGUGGAAGUCAGAAGAGGGCAUCAGAUCCUCUGGAACUGGAAUUAAACGUUGGUGAGUCACCAUGUGGGUGCUGGGAACCCAAUCCAGGUGUUCUGCAAGAGCAGUCAUUAACCACUGAGCCAUCUCCCUCCAGUCCCUUACUGUGACAUUGUAUGACUCAUCCAUAUUGUAGUACAUAUUGGUAUUUCAUGCCCUUUAUGGCUCAGUAAUAUUCCGUCUAGUGGGAUUUUAUUUACCGUUCAUCCUUCAAUCAGCAACAGUGGCACCUUAGGCGAACCUCAUUGGCUGUGCACCCUUGUACGGUUUGAACCUUUGCUCUAAUACAAACAACGCUGAUAGCGAUGCCCAAGUAUCAGUUUGAGUUCCUGCUUUCAAUGAAAAUUUUUUGUUAAAUUUACGUGUGUGUGGAAGUGUGCCUAGGUCAGAGAACAACCCGUGGGAGGUGGUUUUCGCCCUCCUCCAUGUAGGUCCCAGGGAUUGAAUUCAGGGGAGGCAUGGAAUUACCCUUACCCACAAUCCAUCUCACCAGCCCUGCCCGUCUUCAAUUGUUUGGGGUAUCUACUAGUAGUGGAGUUGCUGGCUCAUAUAGGAAUUCUGUUUAAUUCUUUUAAAAAAAAGAUUUAUUUAUUACAUAUAAGUACACUAUCGCUAUCUUCAGACACACCAGAAGAGGGCAUCGGAUCCCAUUACGGAUGGUUGUGAGCCACCGUGUGGUUGCUGGGAAUCUCAGGACCUCUGGAAGAGCAGUCAGGGCUCUUAACCGCCAAGCCAUCUCUCCAGCCCCUCUAUGUUUAAUUCUAAGUGAAGAUUUUUUUGUUUCAUUGUUUGUUUGUUUGUUGUUUUGAGACAAGGUCUCGCUGUGUAGCCCUGGCUGGCCUGGAAUUUGCUAUGUAGACCAGACUGUCCUCAGACUCAUAGAGAUCCUCCUGCCUCUGCCUUCCUAGUGCUGAAGUCCUCCAAACCAACCCCAACCCCUUUUGUGGUAUAUGAAAGAAAAUCCAACAUUUGUACAUGGAGGGCUUCCUAACCCUUCUGUGAAAAGAUUUUAACUUUGAGGAGAGAGGCUUUGUAACAGCAAUGCCAGAGCACAUGAAAUGUGAAGUAAAUUUCUCUGCCUUGUUUUAACUUUGGCAAGUAGAAAGCUGUCCAAACCCUGGCUCUGAACCUCUUUCCCGAGGAAUAUUUUUUAUUUUUAUUUUUUAAAAAAGCAUCAUGUUUCUUCUUUCUUUUUUUUUAAAUAUUUAUUUAUUUAUUUUAUGUAUAAGUACACCAUAACUGUCUUCAGACACACCAGAAGAGGGCAUCAGAUCUCAUUACAGAUGGUUGUGAGCCACCAUGUGGUUGCUGGGAUUUGAACUCAGGACCUCUGGAAGAGCAGUCGGUGCUCUUAACCGCUGAGCCAUCUCUCCAGCCCCCCCCCUUUUUUUUAAAGAUUUAUUUAUUUAUUAUAUAUAAGUACACUGUAGCUGUCUUCAGAUACACCAGGAGAGGGCAUCGGAUCUCUUUACAGAUGGUUGUGAGCCACCAUGUGGUUGCUGGGAAUUGAACUCAUGACCUCUGGAAGAGCAGUCGGGUGCUCUUAACCACUGAGCCAACUCUCCAGCCCCCCCCCCUUUUUUUUAAAGAUUUGUUUAUUUAAUGUGAGUACACUGUAGCUGUCUUCAGACAGGCCAGAAGAGAGCAUCAGAACUCAUCGUAGAUGGUUGUGAGCCACCAUGUGGGUGCUGGGACUUGAACUCGGGACUAUUUGGAAGUGCAGUCAGUGCUCUUUUUUUUUUUUAAGAAUAUUUAUUUAUUUAUUUAUUUAUUUAUUUAUUAUGUAUACAUCAUACAGCUUUCUGCCUGCAUGUGUGCCUGCAGGCCAGAAAAGGGCACCAGACCUGAUUAUAGAUGGUUGUGAGUCACCAUGUGGUUGCUGGGAUUUGAACUCAGGACCUCUGGAAGAGCAGACAGUGCUCUUAACCUCUGAGCCAUCUCUCCAGCCCCAGUCAGUGCUCUUAAUUGCAGAGGCAUCUCUCCAGCCCCUCAUUAUGAGAAUUUUAAAGCCCAGGGCCAGUUUCUUUUUGUUUUCUAAAUGAAACGAACACCAGUGGCAGAGCCUGGCUGGGACUCAGGACAUGCAAGCUUCCAGGUCCCAAAGCCCCCUGUUCUGGAGAUCAUAGUUUACUGCACAGGGAGGGGAUGCCCCCUUUGGAGAGUGAAGGCAGCAGGGAAGACCAGCACUGCCUUCCUCCCAUAGCUCCGGACAGAGUAUUAUGAGCCACCCAAUUGGCUAUUGAAUAAGGGGAAAGGGUCCUUCGGCCGGUAACAAGGUCCCUGCCACUUCCCAUUCUAAAAGGUACAUACUCCGUGGUGUGGUGUCUGACUUUAAAGUAAUGUUACAGAGUGGCAGAUUUUGCUGGCUCCACUUCAGGAGUGGCCAAGAUAUGAGUAAACAGAUCCCUAGGCCUCCCUCUCUCUAAACCAAUGACCUUAGAACCCUGAGCCAGGCACGGCAGCCCGGAUAGAUGCAAGCCGGAAGCCAGCCUGGGCUAUGGUAUAGCACUGUCAGAACAAACAACCAUAACAACAAAAAACAAAUAAUGAUGAUGAUGAUGAUGAUGAUGAUGAUGAUGAUGAUGAUGAUGAUGAUGAUGAUGAUAACCAAAGCAAGACAACAAUCUGCCCAGAGAUUGGAGGCCCAGGGGAGUGUUGGGGAUCCCCACAUACCCCCUACUGUAUUCCUUCUGAGACAGGAUCUGACAGAAUCUCGAUAAACAUGGAGCUCCAGUCCUUUCACCAGGCUGAGAGUAAGCCAGCCCCAGCCAUCUGAUUGCUCCCUGUCCUCCUUUGUGCUGGGAGGGCAAUUUAUGUGAGAGGUGGAAUCCAGACCUAUGUCCUCUUGCUUGGGCUGCAGUUCUGAACCUCGGGGCCAUCUCUCUAGCACCCAUGAUCUAUUGUUUUUUAGAAUCAAAAUAGUGUGUGUGCAUGUGGGCCAAAUACGAGCUGGUGCUCUCCUCCCACACUUGUGUGAGUCCCAGGGAUCAGAGUUGUGCUGUCAAGCUGGUGGCAAGGGCCCCUGUCAAUAUUUAACCUAUGGUAGGAAAUUUAAGCACUGUGCAGUGGAAGGGAACAUAGGUACUUAAGAGGAAAUCAAGUCCAAUCUGCCGACGUGGUGGCACACACUGUUAGCCCAUGUUCUAGGGAGGCGGAGGUGGGAGAAUCUCCAUGAGUUCCAGGCCAGCCAAGGCUACGUAGUGAGAACCUGUCUCAAAAAAUUAAAACAAAAACAGAAGUGGGGGGAGGGGGAGGACCAAUUAUUUAUUAUUAAAGGGGUCAGACUACACAGCGAAACCCUGUCUCAAAAAAACAAAAACAGAAAGGGUCUUUUGGGGAGCGGGUCGGGAGCUGGCUCACUGGUUAAGUGCAUUGUUUGCAGAGGACUCAGAUUCCGUCCCACAUGGCAGUUCACAACCGGCUGCCACUCAAGUUCCAGGGGAGCUGACGCCCUCUUCUGGCCUUCUGGAGCUCCUGUAUGCUUGUUGGCAAAAACAUUAAAAAAAAUUUUUUUUUUAAAUCUAUUUUAAAAAGCGUCUAUGGUGGAGAAAUGCCCACUAGUAUGAACUCAGGCCUACCCUGGGCUAGGCUAACGUGCUACCACUGAGCUAUAUAGCCCCAGCCCUAUUACAGUAUUAUUUAGAGACCGAGGUCUCACUAAAUCACCCAGUCUGGUCUUGAACUCGUGAUUCUUCCGCUUCAGCCUACUGAGUAGCAGAGAUUGUUGUCCCCUGCUACCAGUGAAAGUUUCUUGAAGACAGCGAAUUCCUAAAUUAGGGCUGUUUGGAUCCUAUUUUGCACGCCGGGCAUGGGGAAUAUUAACCACUUCUUUGCGGGCCAUGGUGGCAGAGAAGCCUCUAAUCCCAGGGUAUGUGAGGUGGAGCCAGGAGGAUCAGGAAUUUGGAGUCGGACUAGGCUACGUGAGACCUUCUCUCCAGCAAGCAACACAACCCAGAAAAAACGAACGAACGAACGAACGAACGAACGAACGAACGAACGAACGAACGAACGAACGAACGAACGAACGAACGAACGAACGAACGAACGAACGAACGAACGAACGAACGAACGAACGAACGAACGAACACACAAAAACCUCAAAAGGCAAUAACUGCCUCAGGUGUCAGCAGCACACCGGAAACCUAAACUGAGCUGAACAGGAAAGACAAUCGGAAGACCGUGGUGGAGCGGCGUAGAACCUUGGCGUGGGAGACACGUAGGGUUCUGGGACUUGUAGUUUUUUCCGUUAUAUCGGGUUCGUGGACUACACUUCCCAAGAUGCACAUGUAAGAAGCUAGUCCCACUGUUGGGUGAGAAGAAUGAGGGGGUUGAUUUUCAGGCCGACAAGGGGCCGUUGGAUCACCCAGAUGAGCCAGCUGCGUUCCCAUGGAUCCACAGGGUUAUUUGUGCCGCCCAGCCCCCCUUUGGACCAUGAAAAGAUCAAAGAGUUACAGCGCUUCAUUAGCCUUUCCAAGAAACUGCUAGUGAUGACAGGCGCGGGAAUCUCCACCGAGUCCGGGAUCCCAGACUACAGGUCAGAAAAGGUGGGACUCUACGCCCGCACUGACCGGAGACCCAUCCAGCACAUUGAUUUCAUCCGCAGUGCUCCGGUUCGCCAGCGCUACUGGGCCCGAAACUUUGUGGGCUGGCCUCAGUUCUCCUCUCACCAGCCCAACCCAGCACACUGGGCUCUGAGCAACUGGGAGAAACUUGGGAAGCUGCACUGGUUGGUGACCCAGAACGUGGACGCUCUGCAUUCCAAGGCUGGGAAUCAGCGGUUGACGGAGCUGCACGGAUGCAUGCACAGGGUCCUGUGCCUGAGCUGUGGGGAGCAGACUGCACGCAGGGUGCUGCAGGACCGCUUCCAAGCCCUGAACCCCAGCUGGAGUGCCGAGGCGCAGGGCGUGGCUCCCGACGGUGACGUGUUCCUCACGGAGGAGCAGGUCCGGAGCUUUCGGGUCCCGUGCUGUGAUCGAUGCGGCGGCCCUCUGAAACCCGACGUCGUUUUCUUUGGGGACACGGUGAACCCGGACAAGGUUGACUUUGUGCACCAGCGUGUGAAAGAAGCUGACUCGCUGCUGGUGGUGGGAUCGUCCCUGCAGGUAUACUCCGGUUACAGGUUCAUCCUCACCGCCCGGGAGAAGAAGCUCCCAAUCGCCAUUCUGAACAUCGGACCCACGAGGUCUGACGAUUUGGCUUGCCUGAAGCUGGAUUCGCGCUGUGGAGAGCUGCUGCCCUUAAUAGACCCACAGUGACAGCACCCUGAUGUCCAAAGGCUGGAAAGGACUUUCCUUUGGGUCCCGCUGCUAAAGACCCCUAAGGAUUCCCCGCCUCUCCCCUUCAACUGGUGGAAGCUUACUGUCUGCAUCCUAGAGAGGCCCAAAGCCACGCCUAGGGGCCAGGCCGCCUGUGCAUCGUGCUAUUUACAGAGAUGAGGGCUGCCCCCUAAAGAACUUUCUCAAAGAAGUAGCUGCUCUUGAUGGAGUAGCUGUGCCGCCUUCGGGUUACCAGCGAGAAGGAUCAGCCAGAAGUUCGUAAACCAGAACAGUCUGUGAGGGGCCACGAUCGCACUCAUUCAGAAGGGCAUUUAUAAUUCAUUCAUAAUUCCAAGUGGUCAUGUGUGGCUGAAGCACUUUGAUAUUUCUGACGACAUGAACAAUAACCAACACGGAUUUUUUUUAUCAACCCAAUAAUAAAUUAUUUUUGUUAACAUA